rfam:Schistosoma haematobium scaffold724_9, whole genome shotgun sequence.
GCACCGCUGAGGAGUCCAAAAAUAGGACGAAACGGCCGUUCAGUGC